rnacentral:rRNA from 1 species
GACAGAGGGUGCAAACGUUGUUCGGAAUUACUGGGCGUAAAGCGCGUGUAGGCGGCUCGGAAAGUCGGAUGUGAAAGCCCUGGGCUUAACCUAGGAAGUGCAUUCGAAACUCUCGAGCUUGAGUUCUGGAGAGGAAGGCGGAAUUCUCGGUGUAGAGGUGAAAUUCGUAGAUAUCGAGAGGAACACCGGUGGCGAAGGCGGCCUUCUGGACAGC